UGGCAGUUUGGCCGAGUGGUCUAAGGUAUGGGAUUGUCUUAAUUUAUUGUUACUGGAUCAGACUAACAAAUCCACAGGCGCCGGGUUUAAGAGAAUUCCGAAUUACUGAAUUCCGGUCUACGAAAGUGGGCGUGGGUUCGAACCCCACAGCUGCCAAC